AGAACGAACGCUGGCGGCAGGCUUAACACAUGCAAGUCGAGCGCCCCGCAAGGGGAGCGGCAGACGGGUGAGUAACGCGUGGGAAUCUACCUAGCUCUUCGGAAUAGCUCCGGGAAACUGGAAUUAAUACCGAGUACGCCCUACGGGGGAAAGAUUUAUCGGAGUUAGAUGAGCCCGCGUUGGAUUAGCUAGUUGGUGGGGUAAUGGCCUACCAAGGCGACGAUCCAUAGCUGGUCUGAGAGGAUGAUCAGCCACACUGGGACUGAGACACGGCCCAGACUCCUACGGGAGCAGCAGUGGGGAAUAUUGGACAAGUGGGCGCAAGCCUGAUCCAGCCAUGCCGCGUGAGUGAUGAAGGCCCUAGGGUUGUAAAGCUCUUUCGAGGGGGAAGAUAAGUGACGGUACCACAAGAAGAACGACCCGGACUAACCUCGUCGACCAGACAGGCCGC
rnacentral:rRNA from 1 species